UCGCCUUCACCCUCCCUCUCGCUCUCCCUCUCUCGCACUCCCUUGCUUUCGCUCACGCUUGCCCUUCUCUCUCUCUCUCUCUCUCUCUCUCUCAGCGCAUCGUCUCCAGCAUCAUCUCCAGAUCUGGUGCGCCCAGCAACCCCUGCCCUUCACCUCUUCCCUGGUCACCUUUGCUAUUUGUAUCUGGUGUAAAUACACUUCUAUAAGUAUUCUUUGGAGCAUGAUUGCCAACAGUAGUGGGUGGUUCUUUUGAUUAUGUUAUACCAAUCAUUUACAUUAUAAAUGACUCGUCAUUGCAGCAGAUUCCUGAACCUCAUAAAAUAUUUAUAAAAACCAUGAGAGCAAUUCAAGGAGCAUUGAUUGUAGCAUCAAGCUUGCAAAUCAUCCUGGGUUACAACCAGCUUUGGGAAAAAUUUUCACAGAACUCCAUAGCGACACCUUAUUCACCUAGCAGCUAAAUUUACAAAUGAAUGGUGUCAGUUCAUGAAAGUCAGACAAACGGGUGUUUGAACUAUAAUGGUGGUUGCUGGGAAGACAAGGCUGCCAACAUUAUUGGUUGUAAGGAUACAUUCUGUGGAAGGGUGUGUGAGUGUCCGUUGGUUCAGGAAGUGGAGUUUAAGGGAGAUGUUUAUAGCAGUUGUCAAGUGUGUUGGUGGGCACGGGAAGGGUAUGUGUGAAAUCGAGGAGUGUAUUUGAGCGUUCUGUGUGUAAAUGUAAAUCAAUGUAGCUGCUCCAUGUGGGUUGUUGUUGCUAGUUGGUUCAGGUAGUGGUUGCAGACGCCUCUGUUUGGAUGAGUUUUAGCUGAUGUUGGUUGGAAUGGGAAAGCUGUUCCUGCUAAAGUUUGGAGUGUGAUCAGCAACUUAUGGUUACAACUGCUUCGGUUGGAUUUGGAUGAAUCUAGAUUCCUGGUUUUAGCUGCAGCUACUCCUCGUUUCGCAAGACAUAUCUUCAUCCUUUAACCUCCUUGUCGUUGUCUUGAAGACUAUAAUUUUGUUUGUGCCUUCACCUGCGAUUUUUACCAGGCCAUUAUGUUGAUUGGGAGGGAGGGCAGUAAGGGCUAUUGGAAAGGCAAUCUAGCACAGACACUCUUAGCUUGGAAAGUAAGGUUGUGUGCUUGGGGCUAUCGAACAAUCCCCACUUCAAUUGAUGAGCUUUUCCGUGUUGAAUAUGGACCAUUGGACGGUGAUAUUUGGAUGGACACAUUAUUUUUAUUUUAACAGUUUUACAAGGUGAAGUGAUGUGGAAGAUGGGUGUGAAUCACUCCAUAUGUUCUUCUUCUCGUGCUUUAGAUUCUUCUUUCUUUACAUGUAUUACUUUAGAUGGGUAUAUGGGUUUGUAAGCCAUGAAAUGAAGUAUUUAUCUGUAUUAGCUUAGAUGAGUAGAUCUAUCUAGGCAUGUACUAGCAAUGGCAAUAGACACCAUUAUUA